GAUGAAGAACGUAGCGAAAUGCGAUACUUGGUGUGAAUUGCAGAAUCCCGUGAACCAUCGAGUCUUUGAACGCAAGUUGCGCCCGAAGCCAUUAGGCCGAGGGCACGCCUGCCUGGGCGUCGCACGUCGUUGCCCCCCCCAUCUACUCCUUCGGGAUUGCGGGGGGCGGAUGAUGGCCUCCCGUGCGCCUCGCCGCGCGGUUGGCAUAAAUGCCAAGUCCUCGGCGACGCACGCCACGACAAUCGGUGGUUGCGAAACCUCGGUUGCCCGUCGUGUGCGGUCGUCGCGCAUCGAGGGCUCGAAAAAAUUGCCGAGUUCCGGCUCGGCUUUCAACGCGACCCCAGGUCAGGCGGGGUUACCCGCUGAAUUUAAGCAUAUCAAUAAGCGGAGGA
rnacentral:misc_RNA from 1 species